UGGGGAAUAUUGCACAAUGGGCGCAAGCCUGAUGCAGCCAUGCCGCGUGUAUGAAGAAGGCCUUCGGGUUGUAAACUGCUUUUAGUCGGGAAUAAAAGGGGGUUCGUGAACCCCGUAUUGUAUGUACCGUCAGAAAAAGGACCGGCUAAUUCCGUGCCAGCAGCCGCGGUAAUACGGAAGGUCCGGGCGUUAUCCGGAUUUAUUGGGUUUAAAGGGAGCGUAGGCGGGCCGUUAAGUCAGUUGUGAAAGUUCGGGGCUCAACCCCGGAAUUGCAGUUGAAACUGCCGGUCUUGAGUACACGCAGGGAAGCCUGAAUUCAUGGUGUAGCGGUGAAAUGCUUAGAUAUCAUGAAGACGACCGAUUGCGAAGGCAGCUCACUGGACUGCAACUGACACUGAGGCUCGAAAGUGUGGGUAUCAAACAGG
rnacentral:rRNA from 1 species